rnacentral:rRNA from 1 species
UACGAAGGGGGCUAGCGUUGCUCGGAAUGACUGGGCGUAAAGGGCGCGUAGGCGGUUAGUACAGUCAGACGUGAAAUUCCCGGGCUCAACCUGGGGGCUGCGUUUGAUACGUGCGGGCUUGAGUUCGGAAGAGGGUUGUGGAAUUCCCAGUGUAGAGGUGAAAUUCGUAGAUAUUGGGAAGAACACCGGUGGCGAAGGCGGCGACCUGGUCCGAUACUGACGCUGAGGCGCGAAAGCGUGGGGAGCAAACAGG